rnacentral:rRNA from 1 species
UACGGAGGGGCUAGCGUUGUUCGGAAUGACUGGGCGUAAAGCGCGCGUAGGCGGGCUGGAAAGUCAGGGUGAAAUCCCGGGGCUCAACCCUGGAAUUGCCUUUGAGACUCCCAGCCUUGAGUUCGAGAGAGGUGAGUGGAAUUCCGAGUGUAGAGGUGAAAUUCGUAGAUAUUCGGAGGAACACCAGUGGCGAAGGCGGCUCACUGGCUCGACACGUGACGCUGAGGUGCGAAAGCUGGG